rnacentral:pre_miRNA from 1 species
AAUGGAAUUGCUGGGUCAUGUAGUUUAACCAUUUGAGGAACUGCCAGGCUGUUUUCCAAAGUGACUGCACCAUAUUACAUUUCUAUCAGUGGU